ACCAUGGCAUGUGUAUACUUAUGUAACAAAAAUCAGUAGAGUUUCAGUAAUAAUGAACAAAACUUAACUGAAAAAAGAUAGUAAAAAAUUAGUGGCCGGGCGCGGUGCUCACGCCUGUAAUCCCAGCACUUUGGGAGGCCGAGGCGGGUGGAUCACGAGGUCAAGAGAUCGAGACCAUCCUGGUCAACGAGGUGAAACCCCAUCUCUGCUAAAAAUACAAAAAUUAGCUGGGCAUGGUGGCACGUGCCUGUAGUCCCAGCUACUCGGGAGGCUGAGACAGGAGAAUUGCCUGAACCCAGGAGGCAGAGGUUGCGAUGAGCCGAGAUUGCGCCAUUGCACUCCAGCCUGGGUAACAAGAGCGAAACUCCGUCUAAAAAAAAAAAAAAAUUAUAAAGUAUUUAGAAAACAUUUAACAAAAUACAUGCAAGACUCUUACAGAGAAAAAACAUUACAACUUUAUUGAAGGACAUGUAAAAGACAUGAAUAAAUUAAAAAUGAUACCCUCGUCUGCAUAAACAAUAGUAUAAAAGAAGCCAAUUCUCCCCAGAGUUUUACAAAUUUAAUUAAUACAACUCUAAUCAAUAGCCUAACAAACUUUUCUCUGGACUUGAAUAAGUUAGGUCUAAAAUUCAUAAUGAAGAAUAAAAGCUCAAGAAUAAGCAAGACAACUUUGAAUAGGAAGAAUAAGGCAGGAAAAUUCCCUUUGCCAAGUUAUCAGGGGUGAUCAGAUAGUGUGAUGAUGGCACUGAUCAGGAUAGAUGCACACACUAAUGAAACCUAAUCUUGGCCAGAUCGUAGACCUGCACUUGAAUGUAAACUUGAAACAUGACAGGUGUUCAUUUUCUCAAAAUCCACCGGAUGCAAAUAGUUAAAAGGGUGAAGUGGCUGUGUAAAUGGGAUCAUUGUACCUUUCUCUGUGGUUUUAAAAAUCUCUCAUGUUUUCGCACAAAGCUGUAGGUCAUUCAUAUCCAUUGUUCUCUGGUAUCCCAUUGUAGGAAUAUACCACAACUGAUUUAUCUGUCACACACACACACACACACACACCUCUCCCUCUCUCUCUCUCUCUCUCUCUCUCUCUGCUAUACUUACUGUCAUAUACUAGUGCUACGCCAGGAAGAGACUGUUGAGCCAUUAGAAGUGAGUCAUCUAUCUUGGAAUCCUUGCUUUCAUUAUACCUUAGCAUUGCAUAUGUGAUCUUUUCCCUUCAUCCAUGUGCUAACAUUGUGUCUGUCCAGCUAUACAAGAAGGCCCUUGAGAGGUGAUUUUUGGUGUCAUUGAAUGUUUGCUGAGUUCAGGGUCCUCACUCACAGAAUCUCAUGUUCUACCCAGUUAGGUGUUCGCAUUCCCACGUGAAGAAGCAACGGAAGCCCGAACAAUUUGCACAGCUUGCCCAAGAUCACACAGCUUGGUCUCACCCUCAACGGGGUACUUAGCAAACAGCUAUUGACUGGAGCUGGAAGGGAUGUGGUCAAAACCUGAGAUGCAUGAAUAAAAGGAGAAAAAGAUGCAGAUGGAAAGGUCGGAUCAAAUGAUUUCAUCUUAGGAAUUCCGGGAGUUUGUCUGGCUAGGAGACAGAAAAUAGAUGUGAGAAAAUCCUUCUCUUCUCACUUCCUUGUUCACCAGGGACGACUGUUUCUACUGUGCUCCCAGCCCCUGGGAUCGUGGUGUCCUCAUGUUCACUCAGUAACCAAGUGUGCUGACACUGAGUAUUUCUAUCUGGAACCUGUUGCCAUUUAGAAUGUCAACUUCUAUGACAGUCUAAAGGUCUCGCCCUCCAUGGAAGCCGUGCAGAUCCCCUUAGCAGCACUAACUGCAUUUGAGUGAAAGGCCCCCAUGCCACACUUGGAACAAGGCAUCCUUUUAUGUAAUGUAGCAUCUGAUGAGGAACGGUUGUGGGAGACAAAGUGCUUCUUUUAUGGGGACAGGUCCUUAUGAAAGAUGCAAGAGCAAAUGCUUUAGUAGCUCCUCUGGUAGCAGUCUCACCCCAGAGGGGGAUGAUUAUGUUUGUUUUAAGAAAAGAACCUUCCUGAGUGCAGAGGGGGAAAAUAAGAGCCGCCAGUAAUGCGGAUGAGAAAUCUGAAUGAUGGUUAAGUCCGAUCGCCAGCAAGUGUGACAACUCCAAGUCAUUAUCUUAAAUCAGAAUUCUCCGAGACAUGUUGGCCACAACGUGCUCCAACUCCAGAGCAGUGGAGCAAAAAUAUAUCCUAGUAAAACAGCUACAAUUUACCACGUAUUCACCCUUGCCAGGCACUACCUGUUUCGGUCUUUAUUCGGAUAAUUCGCCCUCCGGAAUUUCAAUUCCUGCCUUCGACUUCAUGUCCUUCUUCCUUGCUUUUCCCUUCCUAGCUCUUGUCACUUUCAAAUAUGCUAUGAGUUGUCCUUAUCUAUCUUAUAUAUUUUCCAUCUUCCCCAUCAAAAUGUAAGCUCCACGAGGGCAGGUAUAAUUUGGUCUGGUUUUUUCCUCUUCUGCUCUUUACCAUCCAAUACAGAGCAGGUGCUCAACUAACGCUUGUUGAAUGAUUGACUCUGCUGAGAUCUUCCCAUGAGUUAUCUUCUUGGAUCAUACCACCAUUCUUUGAGGUGGGUACCAUUUCCCCCACUUACAGCAGAGGAAAAUGAGGUUUAGGGAAGUAACUUCUCCAUGAUCAGAAAGCUUGUUGGGGAGUCUGGAUCAGAACUCAAGUCUCUCCAAAUUCAGAAUGUUCUUAUUCGUUCCUCUAAGGGUUAUGGAAGGACAAGAGCUCACAUUGGAAUGAUAAGCAGACCCUUUUGUGGAGAGGCGUUUUUCCUCCAUUUUCAGAAGGAUCAAACUGUAUUCUGAGGCAUGUAGGGAACUGAAUACAAUAUAGCCUGUUUCUAGUCUAAAAAUAUCACAUCAGUUAUAUCUAUCAGUGCUCUUAAAAACAGUAUCUCUUAAGAAAAGCACUUAAUUUAUCUUCUAGCAUGAGUCCUUUGCAGCAAGGUUUGGCAAAAAGGAAGGUGAAUGCUAUGUGAACUAAUAUUUAUGGAGCAGACGCCAUGUGCCAAAUUCUUUAUAAUUACAUCCAGACUGUUUAUAUCAUGCAGUCCUGACCACAACCCUGUGAAACGUGCAAUCUGAGGUAUGUUUCCCUCGUCCAUGUGUACCCAGUACCCUGGGCUCAUCUUUAUCAACAGUAUUUAUUUCACGUUUCUGGCUACUGACUUACCUUCCUCAUGGCGCUGUGCAUUUAUUGAAGGUAGGCACUAUUGCUUGUUCCCUGUUGAAUCUUCAUAAUCUCGCCUGUUGCCUGGCUGGCCCCCAAUACUUAAUACAUGCUUUAAAAAGCAAAAUGAAUUGACUUGUAUGGUGAGGUAGGUAGUAGAGAGCACAGAGGUAGCUGAGCCAAGAGGUGGUUUCUGCUGUGCCUUCAGCCUGGUCUCAUGGGGAGCUCUGGGUAUGAGUGGCACCACAGAGCAUCUCUGAGUAAGAUUAAUUACACUAAGUCUAUUUAAAAAUAAUUUCCCAGGGAUAAGCAUCGUGGCUCAUGUCCAUAGUCCCAGUGCCCUGGAAAGCUGGGACAGGAAAAUCACUUAAAGCUAGGAGUUCAAGACCAGCUUGGACAACAUAGCAAGACCCUGUCUCUAAAAAAUAAAAAAUAACUGGGUGUGGUGGUGCCCACCUGUAGUCCCAGACACUUGAGAGGCUGAGGUGGGAGGAUCGCCUGAGCCUAGGAGUUGAAGCUGUGGUGAGCUAGGAUCUCACCUCUGCACUCCAGCCUGGGUAGCAGCAUGAGGCUCUGUGUCCACAUAACAAUAAUCACCAUCAUCCUCAUCAUCAUGGUCAUCAUCAUCUCACAAUGAAAAAGCAGAGUGGAAUGAAUAAGUCAGGAAUGGAUGAAUACCUUUGUCUUUCCCAUGCAGACACAUCCUCAUUUUGUAAGUGGAUCGUAUAGACCAAAGCACUCUUGGUCCACUAACUAUCCAGAGGAUAUGAAGCUGAAAGAGAUUUUGAAAUUUCAAGGAAAACUUACUUCUCAGCACAACGUUUGUUUUAAUCUGAAGAAGAGAAGGUGUUUUUUUCACUGAUGGAUUCCGAGUGCCUCCACUGGGACUUAGUUAAUAUUGGGAGUGGAAGAGUUUAUACUUCUUAAAAAACAGUAGAUCGUUCCCCCAAUUUUCCUUUAAGUCUUUUCUCAGUUUUUUGGUUUUUGUUGUUGUUUUUUUAAUGCAGGGUCUUGCUGUAUCGUGCAGGCUGGAGUGCAGUAGUGUGAUCUUGGCUCACUGCAACCUCUUUCUCCUGGGUUCAAGUGAUUCUCCUGCGUCAGUCUCCCCAGUAACUGGGACUAUAGGUGUGCACUACCACACCUGGCUAAUUUUUGUAUUUUUAGUAGAGACAGGGUUUUACCAUGAUGGCCAGGCUUAUCUCAAACUCCUGGCCUCAGGUGGUCCACCUGCCUAAGCCUCCCAAAGUGCUGGGAUUACAAGUGUGAGCCACCACGCACAGCCUCUUUUCUCAAUUUUAAAAAGCAUGAAUAAUUGAAGUUGGAGUAACAUUUUUAAAAAUCUGUUGCAGUUGGGAGUUAGAUUAUUGCCAGCCUCAGUAUGUUCUAUGCUGUUUCCAGCUGAUUCAAGCAUGAAAAAGAGUUUUUAUAAUAUAAACUAAUUCACAGUAAAUCUUUUUUCUUAUCCUUUCCACAGGAUAUUGUCCAGCUGUCAAAUAUAAAGUCAUUCUACCUAACAGUUUGCUUAUUUAAACCUAUCACAGAUGAAUUAUUGGCAACAGGGCCGUUAGCAGGUAAACAUGGUGCCAGAAGAAUUUUAAGGUGGAGAUUAGCAAAGUAUAUGCUGGGAUCACUGUCUUAGGAGAACAGCAAGAAAACAGGAUUCUGUCUUCAGAUAAGUUUGGAAAAUACUCUUUCUCAUAUUCCAAAUAGUAGCAGUCAUGGUAAAGAAAUCUGCUUAGUCAAGUUAACCCAGCAGGUGCAAAACUUAUCUAAUCAUGGAACCCCUUUUCAUGUAAAGUACAUUAGCUGUGCAAAGAAUAAAUAUUACAUAGUGAACGUAUUGGGAAAUUCUAAACGAGGACAACCCCCUCAUUUGAUCAGUGAGGAAACUCAUCAGAUUAGUAUUUCAACAAUAUUUACAGAGUGCCUGAUGCUAGCAAAAGUCCUAGGAUCUGGUUGUGAGCGUGAACACUCAUACAUUUAAGGAAUUCCCUGGGGUCUAGAAGGAAGAGCUUAGCUCAGAGACAGUGAGGUAGUGGCUGUCAAAUAUGACAGUGGGGAAUAUGCAAAUGGGCGCACAGGAGAGAAGAAGAGCACACCCUGUUCCGUGAGAGGGGCUGCGCCUGAGCUCAGUGGUCGCCAGGGAGGUCACAGGGAUGUGAAAGCUUGAGCUGGGCUUUGUAGGAUGAAGAGGAGUCGACCCACUUUGACCCUCUGCUCUGCCUAAGGGCCUCAGUGGGUCAACUCCUCUAUAUCCUGCGAAGAUCCUUCUCAUCUUUUGAGAACCAACUCGGACAUCCCCUCUGGGAAGCCUUCCUCGCCUUUGCACUUGCAUUCCUUGGCUCUGGUGCAAAUAUACAAAGUUCAUGGGGAAGGGUAACUUAUAGCAAAGAGGACUUAGAGGUCACAGCAGCUGCGGCUUCGCUUCACCCUGCGGUUCCGACAGGGCAUAAGUGCACAGUAUACUCUGGCCAAUGUUCAAGAACAGAGGGAAGUCCCACUGAGAAUCACUUCUACAUAUUUGCUGUUCUGGGGUCCAGCACGUCGGCAUGACUAUGUGAUAAUGGAAGCUUCCUGGCUGGGGAAAUGGCCUUUUCAGAAAGCGGAGCGUCUGGAGCUGAGCUAACUCGAACCCCCGGAGCCAGCUUUCUCCCAGGGACCCAGGUGAGCCUCUAGACAUCUUGAUUUGUCAUCCAACCACAAUGGCUUAUGGGAAUUACCUCAUUUAAUCCUCCAACAGCCUUAUGAGGCAUUCGCUAUUACUCUUCCCAUUUUACAGAUGAGCAGCUGAGACAGAGAGAAGUUAAAUAACUAGCUUGUGGUCAGCAACUAGCAACUGACAGACCAGGGACUUGAGUCUGGCUCCAAAGUUCAUGCACUUGACCUCUAUGAUAUAGUGCCUCAUAAAACACAACCUUGGGCCUGGCAUGGUGGUUCACGCCUGUAAUCCCAGCACUUUGGGAGGCUGAUGCAGGCAGAUCACCUGAGGUCAGGAGUUCAAGACCAGCCUGGCCAACAUGGCAAAACCCCGUCUCUACUAAAAAUACAAAAAUUAGCUAGGCAUGGUGGUGAGCACCUGUAAUCCCAACUGCUUGGGAGGCUGUGGCAUGAGAAUCACUUGAACCUGGGAGGGAGAGGUUGCAGUGAGCUGAGAUUGCACCACUGCACUCCAGCCUAGGCGACAGAAAAUAAACAAAUAAAACAAAACACAGUCUUAAUAAGCUACACUACUAGCAUAUAGAUAUCUAGUAGAUUGCUCCUAUAUUUUUACAUAUUUAUCAUUAUUAUUUUCUGCUACAUAUAUUCAUUGCCUAGGCACAGUGUUGAAUGCAUGAAAAUUUCUCAGUAACUCUAAUGGGUAAGAAAAAUAAAGUUGAAAACAAGUUCCCUUAGCUAUCCUUUUAAUCUGUGCUUUCUGGUUGAAAGAAGUAGGACUUUGAAGAAGGAGCCUGGAAAAAAAUAAUCCUUCAAGGACCCACAAGCCAGCAGCCCAGAAUACCGCAGAAAAGAGUAUUUUCAGCACUCGGCUCCAAGCAGGCAUUCAAUAAAUACUUGCUGACUGGAUAGAAUUAAACAAACAAAUUUUCCUGAUUGACAUGACAUGGGUUCUAAUUGCAAAACCUAUUGGAGGAACGACCUGAUGAAGCAAAGCAAAAUUAAAUGGGCCGCUGUGAGAGCAGCAUAAUGGCAUUAGAACCUUUCCGUGUCUGGGCUGGGAGGGAGCUGAGGAGAACAUUGUUAAGUGUGGACAAUGUACAGGCGGGGACCAAAUAGAAUUUCUUUGACUUCAUAAUUUUUGAAAACUGUUUAUACAGUUCAUAUAUUAAAUGCUGUGGAAAUUGUUCCGAGUCUUUGCAAGAGAGUGACUGCACGUAGUCCCCCGUAAAUCCAGGUUCGUUUGUGAGGCAACUGCCGCAUACAGCACACUUAUAAGUGCAUCCCCCACAUUUCUCAUUUCAGGAUUAGAAUAAUAUUUACGAUUACAUUUUUGAAAAUGUUGUUGUACCAAGAUGAAAUCAAAUAGUUAAGCUUCAGGCAAGAAAAGAGAAAUAGACUGGAAGGUGCUGUCACAAAUGGUGAUGCUGAGCUGGUAUUCUUGAGAAAUAAUUGUGGUCUUUCCCAUUUUCAGCUGGAAUGCAGCCCUCUGACAUUCUUCCAGGGUUUGGGAAGUCAGAUUGUCUUACGGAUUCCAAACAAAUAGAGAGAGUAAUCAUUGGAGAAUGCACAACAAUCUGGCAAUAUGGAAAUUACAAAUUAUAAUAUUUCCCCCCGAGUAAAUGAAAUAUGCAAAAGAACAACUGCAUAAUACAGCACAGUUCGUGUAGUCCCUGGGUAGCCACUGUUAGCAAGGUCUUCUAUCACACUUGUAUACCUCUUUGGUUAAUAAUGAAUGUGCAAAAUUAAGUUUAAAAUGAAUUAUGAAAUUCUUUCAAAGUUCAAUUUUUACAUAAAGCGCCAUUGGGUAUCAAAAUACAGUGGCAACCCAUGACAUACAUCUUUUAAAAUGUCUGUGCACCUCAAUGAAAAUUCUGUUUUUUUACCAUAACACUAACCCUUAUUUACAUCAGGGAAUUUUCCUAAUCUGUUUUCAUUCUAUUACUGUACAUAGUAAUCUUGGCCCUAAAGAAAUAGAAACAUCUAGCUCUACCAGAAAUAUUUUCACGACCUUGAUAUUAUCUUAAUAAGGUUGCAUCUCACUGUGUUUAUUUCCGGGAUAUGAUAUGGAAAUCCAAUCCCAGUGGCUAUGAUAAUAUUAAUUCAUUCUUUAUUCUACAGUACUUUGGUGAAAGUUCUGUACUUAUAAGCCCCCGAGCUCAGUGCUAUGAGAGUAUGUCGUAAGCAGAGCACGCGGAUCUCUCUUUCAGGAGUUUACAGACGUCUAAAGAGCGGGUGGAGCACGCGGAUCUCUCUUUCAGGAGUUUACAGACAUCUAAAGAGCGGGUGGAGUAAGAGUUUUAAACACUGGUCAUGUUCUCGUUCUCAAAACCACCUUCACUGUGAGGUCAACAUCCUUGGCCAACUGUUGACUACUCGGGAAGCUCACUCUCUUCUGGUCUUCUAAGUUGCUGCCUUGUCAAUUUCACUGCUUGUCACUUUCCCCCACAGUGAAAGGACACAAACCAGGAACAAUUCACAUCAAUGAGGAUGUGAGAAGUUGGAUAAAAACUCUGUGGGGAAAUGUCUGAACCUCAUGAGUAUUGAGGAUUGCCUUCUUUCCUUCAUAGAUGGGUUGCAACCCAAAGGAAGCUUCUGGAAUGCAGAGACCACCAAGAGGCCGAGACUGAGAGACUGUACCAGAGUCAACACUUAUGGGACCAGGGCAAACCAAGUGGCCAUGCCCUUGUAGCCAAGCAAGUCUGGAAUGCUCAGGCAAGUAUCCAGUGCCAGAGGAUGGUAAGUGUGCUGAGGAUGCAGUAAUUCCCAAACAUUCCCUCUAGAAGGAUUUCUAGACACAGGCAAGUGUAUGAGUGAUAAAGGCAUGAGCAUCAGGCCGGGUGUGGUGGCUCACACCUAUAAUUCUAGCACUUUGGGAGGCCAAGACAGGUGGAUCACCUGAGGUCAGGAGUUCGAGACACUAUCUCAAAAACAAACAGAACAAAACACAUGAGCAUCAAAGCGACCCCAGAAACAUAAUCAGGGAGACCCCAUUUGCCUUCUCAUAGAUGCGGAGCUGGUUACCAAAGACUAAUGGAGAGUCAGAACGAUGGAAUUUUCUAGAAUGUGGCAGAACUAGAGCAGACCCUGUUAAGAUAACCCAUUGAUGUCUACUGUCAGGACGUCCCACAGAUGUCCACUCUCUACUCAAUCUUCGUCAUGCUUAAAGGUCAUGAAAGCAGGACACAACCUUUAAAGGAUACAAGGUAUAUGCAAAUGAAUGCUUAAUUUGUUGGAAGGGAAAUCUUGCAUAAAUGUUUAGUGGGCUGUUCAGAAUUAAACUGAGACAUGUGGACAGAAGGAGCAAAUUAAAAUAGAGUCAAGUGUCCACCUCUGAGAAAUGCUAAAGAGUAUAAUUCAGAAAUCAUUUAUUCUAGAGGGACCAAGGAGGGCUGACUUAAUUACUCUGCCAUUUUAACUGAACGCUCUUUGACUUAAUUUUAUCUCAAUGAGUAUAAAGCGUUGAGAGACUCUCCCCAUAAACACGGAGUUGCCUCUGACAGCUUCUGGGAAGGAGCCCCACGGGGAGGGGAUGGUGAUUUACAGUACACUAACAGUGCCGCAGAACAGCUUUGGCACCAGAAGUUUCUAGGGCUUAAUUACUGCCUUUAAAAUGUAAGCCAGAGUUAGGCACGAAGCAGUACCCACCAGAAGGAGGGAGGGAGAGAAAGAGAGAGACAGAGGCGGGGGCAUGACUGCAGAGUAAGGAAGACUUGCAAGUGAAUGUUGCUGUUAUUCUGUGUCUCAUUUCCCAUAAAGACACCAACCUGCAGAAUUCAUCAUUCUUACUAUGGACAAUACUAUCCAUUCUUUCUGUGCCCUACAUUUGCCAUGUAAAAUCAUCUGACCUUUUUGAAUUCGACUCAAAUAGUCUAUCCAGAAGGUGUUGUGAGACUUACCUGUUUCUGAAAAGAUAAGGAUUUUUAAAAUAUUCCUUUAGACAGUCCCUUGCUAAGGAUUUUAAAAUUCUAGUAUUCUCAGAAAAAAUAUUCACAGACUUUUAAUUCUUUGACCUAUUCCCCAACGCCCAGUUAUCUUUAAAAUAUGUUAUAUUUUUAGGGAAAUUCAAAGAUUCUAAAAUAAAACAUAUAAAGAAGCCCCCCCAAAUAAUGCUGGGCGGCUAGCUGUUUUAAGAAAUAAGACAUUUUUAUAAUAAAGUUUUCAAAAUGUGGUACAUAUACCACAUUCCAUAUGUGGAAUACUAUGCAGCCAUAAAAAAGAAUGAGAUCAUGUCAUUUGCAGUGACGUGGAUGGAGCUGGAGGCCAUUAUUCUAAGCGACCGAAUGCGUGCAAGAACAGAAAAGCAAACACUGCAUGUUCUCACUUAUGGGUGGGAGCUAAAUGAUGAGAACGCAUGGACUCAUAGAGAGGAACAACACACACUGGGGCCUGUAGAGGGUGGAGGGUGAGAGGAGGGAGAUGAGUGAGUACCAGGAUUAACACGUGGGUGAUCAAACAAUCCGUACAACACCCCCCAUGACACAAGUGUACCUGUGUAGCAAACCUGCAUCUAUGCCCCCGAACUUAAAGCUUAAACAAACAUAAAUAAAGCUUCUCUCCUUUU